UUAAGCGACUAAGCGUACACGGUGGAUGCCCUGGCAGUCAGAGGCGAUGAAGGACGUGCUAAUCUGCGAAAAGCGUCGGUAAGGUGAUAUGAACCGUUAUAACCGGCGAUGUCCGAAUGGGGAAACCCAGUGCAAUUCGUUGCACUAUCGUUAACUGAAUACAUAGGUUAACGAGGCGAACCGGGGGAACUGAAACAUCUAAGUACCCCGAGGAAAAGAAAUCAACCGAGAUUCCCCCAGUAGCGGCGAGCGAACGGGGAGCAGCCCGGAGUCUGAAUCAGCUUGUGUGUUAGUGGAAGCGUCUGGAAAGUCGCAGGGUACAGGGUGAUACUCCCGUACACUAAAACACACAGGCUGUGAACUCGAAGAGUAGGGCGGGACACGUGGUAUCCUGUCUGAAUAUGGGGGGACCAUCCUCCAAGGCUAAAUACUCCUGACUGACCGAUAGUGAACCAGUACCGUGAGGGAAAGGCGAAAAGAACCCCGGCGAGGGGAGUGAAAAAGAACCUGAAACCGUGUACGUACAAGCAGUAGGAGCCCACUAGUUGGGUGACUGCGUACCUUUUGUAUAAUGGGUCAGCGACUUAUAUUCUGUAGCAAGGUUAACCGAAUAGGGGAGCCGCAGGGAAACCGAGUCUUAACUGGGCGUUAAGUUGCAGGGUAUAGACCCGAAACCCGGUGAUCUAGCCAUGGGCAGGUUGAAGGUUGGGUAACACUAACUGGAGGACCGAACCGACUAAUGUUGAAAAAUUAGCGGAUGACUUGUGGCUGGGGGUGAAAGGCCAAUCAAACCGGGAGAUAGCUGGUUCUCCCCGAAAGCUAUUUAGGUAGCGCCUCGUGAACUCAUCUUCGGGGGUAGAGCACUGUUUCGGCUAGGGGGUCAUCCCGACUUACCAACCCGAUGCAAACUACGAAUACCGAAGAAUGUUAUCACGGGAGACACACGGCGGGUGCUAACGUCCGUCGUGAAGAGGGAAACAACCCAGACCGCCAGCUAAGGUCCCAAAGUCAUGGUUAAGUGGGAAACGAUGUGGGAAGGCCCAGACAGCCAGGAUGUUGGCUUAGAAGCAGCCAUCAUUUAAAGAAAGCGUAAUAGCUCACUGGUCGAGUCGGCCUGCGCGGAAGAUGUAACGGGGCUAAACCAUGCACCGAAGCUGCGGCAGCGACGCUUAUGCGUUGUUGGGUAGGGGAGCGUUCUGUAAGCCGUUGAAGGUGGCCUGUGAGGGUUGCUGGAGGUAUCAGAAGUGCGAAUGCUGACAUAAGUAACGAUAAUGCGGGUGAAAACCCCGCACGCCGGAAGACCAAGGGUUCCUGUCCAACGUUAAUCGGGGCAGGGUGAGUCGACCCCUAAGGCGAGGCCGAAAGGCGUAGUCGAUGGGAAACAGGUUAAUAUUCCUGUACUUGGUGUUACUGCGAAGGGGGGACGGAGAAGGCUAUGUUGGCCGGGCGACGGUUGUCCCGGUUUAAGCAUGUAGGCGGAUGUUCCAGGUAAAUCCGGAACGUUAUUAACGCUGAGGUGUGAUGACGAGGCACUACGGUGCUGAAGUGACAAAUGCCCUGCUUCCAGGAAAAGCCUCUAAGCAUCAGGUAACAUCAAAUCGUACCCCAAACCGACACAGGUGGUCAGGUAGAGAAUACCAAGGCGCUUGAGAGAACUCGGGUGAAGGAACUAGGCAAAAUGGUGCCGUAACUUCGGGAGAAGGCACGCUGAUGGUAAGUGAAGUGACUUGCUCAUGGAGCUGAAAUCAGUCGAAGAUACCAGCUGGCUGCAACUGUUUAUUAAAAACACAGCACUGUGCAAACACGAAAGUGGACGUAUACGGUGUGACGCCUGCCCGGUGCCGGAAGGUUAAUUGAUGGGGUUAUCCUCGCGGAGAAGCUCUUGAUCGAAGCCCCGGUAAACGGCGGCCGUAACUAUAACGGUCCUAAGGUAGCGAAAUUCCUUGUCGGGUAAGUUCCGACCUGCACGAAUGGCGUAAUGAUGGCCAGGCUGUCUCCACCCGAGACUCAGUGAAAUUGAACUCGCUGUGAAGAUGCAGUGUACCCGCGGCAAGACGGAAAGACCCCGUGAACCUUUACUAUAGCUUGACACUGAACACUGGUCCUUGAUGUGUAGGAUAGGUGGGAGGCUUUGAAGUGUGGACGCCAGUCUGCAUGGAGCCGUCCUUGAAAUACCACCCUUUAAUGGCUGGUGUUCUAACGUGGGCCCGUGAUCCGGGUUGCGGACAGUGUCUGGUGGGUAGUUUGACUGGGGCGGUCUCCUCCUAAAGAGUAACGGAGGAGCACGAAGGUCAGCUAAUCCUGGUCGGACAUCAGGAGGUUAGUGCAAUGGCAUAAGCUGGCUUGACUGCGAGCGUGACGGCGCGAGCAGGUGCGAAAGCAGGUCAUAGUGAUCCGGUGGUUCUGAAUGGAAGGGCCAUCGCUCAACGGAUAAAAGGUACUCCGGGGAUAACAGGCUGAUACCGCCCAAGAGUUCAUAUCGACGGCGGUGUUUGGCACCUCGAUGUCGGCUCAUCACAUCCUGGGGCUGAAGUAGGUCCCAAGGGUAUGGCUGUUCGCCAUUUAAAGUGGUACGCGAGCUGGGUUUAGAACGUCGUGAGACAGUUCGGUCCCUAUCUGCCGUGGGCGCUGGAGAAUUGAGGGGGGCUGCUCCUAGUACGAGAGGACCGGAGUGGACGCAUCACUGGUGUUCGGGUUGUCAUGCCAAUGGCAUUGCCCGGUAGCUAAAUGCGGAAGAGAUAAGUGCUGAAAGCAUCUAAGCACGAAACUUGCCCCGAGAUGAGUUCUCCCUGACUCCUUGAGAGUCCUGAAGGAACGUUGAAGACGACGACGUUGAUAGGCCGGGUGUGUAAGCGCAGCGAUGCGUUGAGCUAACCGGUACUAAUGAACCGUGAGGCUUAACCUU
rnacentral:rRNA from 1 species